rnacentral:misc_RNA from 1 species
UACGGAGGGUGCAAGCGUUGUCCGGAAUCAUUGGGUGUAAAGGGUGUGUAGGCGGGACUGUAAGUCAGGGGUGAAAGCCCGCAGCUUAACUGCGGAAUUGCCCUUGAUACUGCAGACCUUGAGUCCUGGAGGGGCUACUAGAAUUCGUGGUGUAGCGGUGAAAUGCGUAGAUAUCACGAGGAAUACCAAAGGCGUAGGCAGGUAGCUGGACAGGUACUGACGCUGAGGCACGAAAGCGUGGGGAGCAAACAGG